UACUCAGUUGAGUUUUGGCCGUGAGCGUGUUCUGGUGCGCGUCAGUGUCUGCCUCAUUGUCGUCCGUUAUACUAUUUGUCGCUGUGCCGUCGCCGUCGCCCUCAUCGUUGCCGUUGCCCCGUGUUGUUUACGUGUGUGCGUCUGCCAGUGUUCAAUUUUGUUGUUUUUGUUUUUUGUUUGUUGUAAUUUUUUUUUGGCGACGGUUAGCAAAAAAUUUUUGAACGCAAAUUAAAUGACAGAACAAUGGCUCAAGCUUUGAUCUUGUAUCUCUUUCGCUAAGCUCGCGACUCGCCAGAGUAUUCUCUGUGUGUAAAAAAAUGUAAUGACGUGAGGAAAGUCCUAGAUACAAAAAUACACAAAAUCCAAUUGUAAACAAAUUGAAAA